GCCUCGAGCAUGAUUCUGGGGGUGGCCUUGGGUGCAGCAACGCUAGGACUCCGGAACGCCCCACUUCAAGACCCAGCAACUGGAGUUCUGGGGGAGCCGGCUCAGACUUAGACUUGCUCUGGUGCAGAAGAAGAUCUGGAGCCCGUAACUCAUAAGCGUUUCA
rnacentral:rRNA from 1 species